AGCAGCAUUAAUAGCAGCAGCAGUAGGAGGAAUCAGCCUUUUCGUGUUCUAUAAAAUGAAAAAAGGUCAACAAGAAAACAACAUCAGAAGGUCAAACGGUGAAGAAAUAAUUUUGGGUCUGUUAAAGCUGAAGAUUCAGGACGACCUUCAACUGAAGAAAAGUGCUACAACCUGAACAACAGUGUUAAACCUCAGUCAGAUGAACUUCAGUCCAGUCUGGUCAACUCUGAGGUUUGAAUGUAAAAAUGAAUGUGAGUUUGAACAAAUGAUGGAGAAGCAACGGGAACAAAGAAGGAUUCAAGGAAAACGAACCUGAGCAUCACUAACUGAAGGACUAAAUAGUGCUGUGAUGCUGUAAGUGUUGAUGAGUUUGUACAGAAACACUGAAGAACAGCUUUAAUGCUGAACUUUAGAGACAAACUCGUUGUUGUUCUUCAGCUGAUUGAUUACAGACAUGGACACUUUGACAGUGUUAGAAAUCAACUUUCUUAGUUCUGGAAUUUAAGUUGUUGGUUUAGUGUUGAGUGGAUUUAUUUUAUUCUCAUGAAGCUGUUUCCUUGUUGUCAGUUCUCUCUGUUGUAAUUAUUCACUUCAUGCAGAUUUCUCACAGCGGCGGCCUGAUAGAAGCCUGAAAAUCUUUGAGUAGGAAACCAAAAGCAAAGGUCAGGACUGAGUUUCAGGAGCUCGGUUUGCUGCUGUAGGACACAGGCUGACUGGAAAUGUGCAAACUGAUGGACUUUAGUUUUUCCAGCAUUUUUAAACUUCAUUUGGUUUUCUGUUUGUGUAAAUGUCUGUUUAUCUGUCUGGUAAAAAAGCUGGUUUCCAAGAGGUAACCAAAGACUUUUAUUUUGACAAAUCCAGCAGCCUGACAUCUGACUGUCACGGAUGUCUUUUUACUGGUUAAUUGUUGAAUCUAAAUAUCUAAAGGCUUAGUACUGGGUUCUGGAGAAGCUGCUGCACCACUGCGCACCGCCAUCUUAUCUUGAGUCCAAAUACAGAGAGGAGGUGGAACACCUGGUGCAGUGGUGCAGAGACAACAACCUCUGCAUCAGUGUGAAGAAGACCAAGGAGACGGUGGUGGACUUCAGGAGGGACAAGCACCCUCCCCCUCCUCUGCACAUCAGAGGAGCAGCUGUGGAAGUGGUCUCCAGCUUCAGAUACCUGUGUGUGCACAUAUCCAGUGACCUCACCUGGAGCACCAACAACACUUCCCACCUGGUCAGGAAGGCCCACCAGUGCCUCUACUUCCUCAGGAAGCUGCGGAGAGCUUGACUUGGGAGCUCUGUUCUGAGGAGCUUCUACCAUUGUAUGGUGGAGAGCAUCCUCUGCACCUGCAUCACCGUGUGUCAUGGCAGCUGCACAGCUGCUGAGAAGAAGGCUCUGCAGAGAGUGGUAAAGGCUGCAAAGAGGACUGCAGGGAGCAGCCUUCCCACCACCUCACACCUCUACUCAUCACGGUGCAGGGGAAGGGGCUCUCCGCAUGGUGAAGGACUCCACCCAUCCUGCACACAGACCGUUUCAGCCCCUCCCCUCAGGCAGGCAGCUCAGGAGCACCCAGAGCGAAACCAGCAGGCACAGAGACAGCUUCUUCCCCGAGGCUGUCAGACUGUUGAACUGGAGCCAUGCUCUGUAGCCUCACACCACCAUCACACACGGACAGCACCAUUAAACACUUUUAUCCAUAAAUGUGCAAUAUUUUAAACACCUAAGUGCAAUAUUAUAUUACAGUCUCCCUCGCUGCUACACAUAUGUUUAGUGCUUAUUUUUACUUAUAUUCUGCUCUUGUUUUUAUGGUUUAUUGUACUUAUUUAUUUGGCUUUUUCUUUUAAAAAAUGGGACCUGAGGACUUAUUGCGGUCCAUGGCAUGUGAAUGUGAGCUGGCAUGACAAAGUUCCUUGAAUCCUUGAA